rnacentral:rRNA from 1 species
UACGUAGGUGGCAAGCGUUGUCCGGAUUUACUGGGCGUAAAGAGCGCGCAGGCGGUCGUUCAAGUCGCGUGUGAAAGCCCCCGGCUCAACUGGGGAGGGUCACGCGAUACUGAUCGACUCGAAGGCAGGAGAGGGAAGUGGAAUUCCCGGUGUAGUGGUGAAAUGCGUAGAUAUCGGGAGGAACACCUGUGGCGAAAGCGGCUCACUGGACCACAACUGACGCUGAUGCGCGAAAGCUAGGGGAGCAAACAGG